GUGCUCACUUGAGCAGCACAUAUACUAAAAUUGGAAUGAUACAGAGAAGAUUAGCAUGACCUCUGUACACAAAACUUGUUUUGAAUUAUACUGUGAUAAAUAUUUAUUUU
ensembl:snRNA U6 U6 spliceosomal RNA